UUUACCUUAAUUAGUUUAAAGCCAAGAACAUCAAAAAAAGAAGCAAUUGGCACAAAAUAAAUGAUAGUGCCUAAACAUUAAAAAAGAAAUGAUAGACACAAAAUAAAUAACAGUGCCUUUCUUACCCCAAAAUAUUAUACUUAUAUAUUAUAAACAAACUUAUUAUCUAUUGGUAAUCAUUUAUUCAAAUGUUCAAUUAAAAUAAAACUUAAAUUGUUUACUUUAAUUAGUUUAAAGUCAAGAACAUUAAAAAAGAAACGAUG
rnacentral:lncRNA from 1 species